rnacentral:lncRNA from 1 species
AUAAUGACAAGGAAUACUCAUGUGAACCCUAAUGUAAACUCUGGACUUUGGGUGACAAUGGCGUGUCAAGGGAGUUUUAUGCCUAUGUAAUCAGUGCAGACAGCCGUUAAGUAAAUGAAGAGGCAACUAACAAUGUCAGAAAAGAGACCGGGCGGUUCCGGCUGACACUACCCUAAUCUUCCAGGACCCAUUAAAUGGCAGUUUCAACGCAUUACCUACCAUAACAUCCUUGAAUAUCACUGAUUUUAUUUGCAGUAUCAAACAUUCCAUUUCAUGCCCCAUUAACAGUGGGAGCCUGAGCUUUUUGACGCAGCUAAACAUUUUACUAACUACCUGGACUAAGUAACCAAUUAACUUUUGGAGACAAUACGGCCAAUUAAGCGCGAAAAGAAAUAUCAGUGUCGGACAAGAUAUUGCCCUGGUUAUCACCGGCUUGGACUCUUCAGAGAUAAAAACAAACCCUUGUAUGGAGAAGUGUGCCCCGAAUUAACCCUCUGUGGUUUGGGAAAUCAUUUUCUAAAUGGCAGGCAAGGUCGCGGGUGAUGAUUCUGCUUGGAUUUCGCUCCAGUUGACUGGAAUGGCGCACAAGUAAUGAAGGUGGAUAUCACAUUUUGAAAGCUUGAGGCAAAUUUCUUCCCUUUGGUAGGAGUCUUUCAUCUUUGGAGGUAAAGAAGAAAAUCUGUGCUGAAGGGCAUCUUCCAUGGGCCCUGUCUGGUGAAAAUGUG